GGAUACCCGAGGGAAACUUCGGUUAAUACGGUAUAAGACCACACUACCGCAUGGUAGAGGGGUAAAAGGGGCAACCUGGUAUGAGAUGGACUCGCGUCGCAUUAGCUAGUUGGUGAGGUAACGGCCCACCAAGGCGACGAUGCGUAGCCGACCUGAGAGGGUGAUCGGCCACAUUGGGACUGAGAUACGGCCCAGACUCCUACGGGAGGCAGCAGUGGGGAAUAUUGGGCAAUGGAGGAAACUCUGACCCAGCAAUGCCGCGUGAAUGAAGAAGGUCUUCGGAUUGUAAAGUUCUUUAGUCAGGGAAGAAGUCAAUGACGGUACCUGAAGAAUAAGCUCCGGCUAACUACGUGCCAGCAGCCGCGGUAAUACGUAGGGAGCAAGCGUUGUUCGGAAUGACUGGGCGUAAAGGGUGCGUAGGCGGUUGUACAAGUUAGAAGUGAAAUACCCAGGGCUUAACUCGGGUGCUGCUUCUAAGACUGUAUGACUUGAGUGCAGUAGAGGUUAGUGGAAUUCCUAGUGUAGCGGUGGAAUGCGUAGAUAUUAGGAGGAACACCAGAGGCGAAGGCGGCUAACUGGACUGCAACUGACGCUGAGGCACGAAAGUGUGGGGAGCAAACAGGAUUAGAUACCCUGGUAGUCCACACUGUAAACGAUGGAUACUAGAUGUAGGAGGUAUCGACUCCUUCUGCGUCG
rnacentral:rRNA from 1 species